GAGGCUAUCCUUUCAGGGAUCAUUUCUACAGUACAUUACUAGAGAAGCUUCUCUGAUCGUGCAGAGUACCAGCAGCCACAAGGAGGAGGCGCAGUGCUCCUUCCUGAGCGUGGAGCCGGCUCUUGGUGUUGGUGUGCUACAACUGCCACUGGCCGACUGUCGCUCUUGCUUUCUCCUUGGAGGGAGCAAGAGGGAAGGAAUGCAGCCUGAGUAGGC
rnacentral:snoRNA from 1 species